rnacentral:tmRNA from 1 species
GGGGGCGAUUGGCUUCGACGGUUGGCGGGCGGUUCGUUAAGCAUACCGACGGGGUAACCAUGCGUCAAUUGGUUACAACAAAUUAAAUGCAGAUAAAAAUGCAACUUCCUUUGCUUUGGCUGCCUAAGUGCGGUUAAGCAUCGGCCGACGACGCGUUUUCACUCUUUCCAACGAUCGUCUGCAAACAAAGGGUCAACGACGCAACGCAACCAUGGCAUGACGGUGGCGUUACGCGGCAACAAAAGUCGGCCUUGGUCAUAACAAUUUGUCGUUAGGUUGGUGAUCAAUUUUUGAUAACGACUAUGUAUGUAGAAGAACGAACAAGAUUCCAAGCGGACCCGGGUUCAAUCCCCGGCGUCUCCACCA